rnacentral:rRNA from 1 species
GUGCUCUGAUGCUUAUUGCACCACAUGUGUUUUUCUUUGAAACAAACUUGCUUUGGCGGUGGGCCCAGCCUGCCGCCAGAGGUCUAAACUUACAACCAAUUUUUUAUCAACUUGUCACACCAGAUUAUUACUAAUAGUCAAAACUUUCAACAACGGAUCUCUUGGUUCUCGCAUCGAUGAAGAACGCAGCGAAAUGCGAUACGUAAUAUGAAUUGCAGAUAUUCGUGAAUCAUCGAAUCUUUGAACGCACAUUGCGCCCUCUGGUAUUCCGGAGGGCAUGCCUGUUUGAGCGUCGUUUCUCCCUCAAACCGCUGGGUUUGGUGUUGAGCAAUACGACUUGGGUUUGCUUGAAAGACGGUAGUGGUAAGGCGGGAUCGCUUUGACAAUGGCUUAGGUCUAACCAAAAACAUUGCUUGCGGCGGUAACGUCUACCACGUAUAUCUUCAAACUUUGACCUCAAAUCAGGUAGGACUACCCGCUGAACUUAAGCAUAUCAAAAGCCGGAGGAA